rnacentral:lncRNA from 1 species
AAAAAGGAAUAAAAGGUUACGUGAAUUGAUAAAUGGAUAAUGUAGACAGCCUGACUAGAUAUCCUGGGAGAUGGUGGACGGACCGGGUCCGUAGGGAACCCUACCGAGAAUGUGGUCUCUCAUCCGUACGGGGUAUGGAGACCUUCUGUGUUUUGGCGCCCAUACCGGACGGGGUAUUGAGGUUCAUGGUUUUGGUGCCCAUACCGGACGGGGUAUGGGGACGGCUCUGGAAUCAGGUUAUAAUUGUUAA